rnacentral:snRNA from 1 species
UGAAGAAGCAGCUCUUUGC